GGAGGGUUGGCUGAGAUGGAUUAAAGCGCCGGGUUGCUAACUCGGAGUCCGAGAAAUCGGGCCGUGAGUUCGAAUCUCACACCCUCCGCCA
rnacentral:tRNA from 1 species